AUUAAUGGAAUAAUACUUAAUGGGUUAAUGGAUUAAUAUGGUAUCAUGGGAGUAGGACUGGUGGCUUGAUGAGAAGAGGAAGAGAGACCUCAGUAAACAUUCGAGGGUGCUCGGCUCCUUCCCCAUGUGAUGCUCUGUAUUGCCUUGGGAUCAUGCGGAGUCCCCACCAGCAAGAAGACUCUCACCAGAUGUGGCCCUUUGACCUUGGACUUCUCAGACUCCAUACCUAUUUGGAUGGCAAAUCGUCUUUCUGCAAUUGUUUUAUGGUUGCCAUUGCAAUUAAGAAAUGGAAAAUAAAUUUCUGAGAUCCAACAAAGUCUGAUCUCAUCAGCAUCAGAACCAUGUAUGGAAAGAGACAACAAAACUCAGACCUAAGAGGAUGACAAAAUAGAAAGACCAGCGGGAGUGGGAAAAAUCCUCAUAAGUGGAGCAGUUGAAACUUGGGAAUAUAUAGCCUUAGAAAAUUGCAGCUGGAGACAUCUGUCAUUUAGUCCUCAAAACUGCCCAAAGCCCUGAUAAGUGGCUGAAGACUGACGCUGCCCGAACAUCUCGGAGGCCCCCUGUACCAUCGUGGUUGCUGAGCUUUGGGUAACUCUUACGGUGGAGGGUAAGUCGAUUCCCUUCUUAAUCAAUAUGGCACCUUCCACUCCGCACUGUCUUCUUUUCA